UAGGGAAUCUUCGGCAAUGGGGGCAACCCUGACCGAGCAACGCCGCGUGAGUGAAGAAGGUUUUCGGAUCGUAAAGCUCUGUUGUAAGUCAAGAACGGGUGUGAGAGUGGAAAGUUCACACUGUGACGGUAGCUUACCAGAAAGGGACGGCUAACUACGUGCCAGCAGCCGCGGUAAUACGUAGGUCCCGAGCGUUGUCCGGAUUUAUUGGGCGUAAAGCGAGCGCAGGCGGUUUGAUAAGUCUGAAGUUAAAGGCUGUGGCUCAACCAUAGUUCGCUUUGGAAACUGUCAAACUUGAGUGCAGAAGGGGAGAGUGGAAUUCCAUGUGUAGCGGUGAAAUGCGUAGAUAUAUGGAGGAACACCGGUGGCGAAAGCGGCUCUCUGGUCUGUAACUGACGCUGAGGCUCGAAAGCGGGGGGAGCGAACAGGAUUAGAUACCCUGGUAGUCCACGCCGUAAACGAUGAGUGCUAGGUGUUGGAUCCUUUCCGGGAUUCAGUGCCGCAGCUAACGCAUUAAGCACUCCGCCUGGGGAGUACGACCGCAAGGUUGAAACUCAAAAGGAAUUGACGGGGGUCAUAGCUGUUUCCUG
rnacentral:rRNA from 1 species